GAGAAAGACCUUCCAAAUUUAUAAAGAUACUUAAACCAAUUAUAAUCAUUGAGUUAUCAAUUUCGGGCUGUAGUGCAGUGGGUUAAGCGCAGGUGGCACAAAGCACAAGGACCGGCAUAAGGAUCCGGGUUCGAACCCCGGCUCCCCACCUGCAGGGGAGUCACUUCACAGGCGGUGAAGCAGGUCUGCAGGUGUCUAUCUUUCUCUCCUCCUCUCUGUCUUCCCCUCCUCUCUCCAUUUCUCUCUGUCCUAGCCAACAACGACAACAACAAUAACUACAACAAUAAAACAACAAGGGCAACAA